rnacentral:rRNA from 1 species
ACGAACGCUGGCGGCGUGCUUAACACCUGCAAGUCGAACGGAAAGGCCCUGCUUUUGUGGGGUGCUCGAGUGGCGAACGGGUGAGUAACACGUGAGUAACCUGCCCUUGACUUUGGGAUAACUUCAGGAAACUGGGGCUAAUACCGGAUAGGAGCUCCUGCUGCAUGGUGGGGGUUGGAAAGUUUCGGCGGUUGGGGAUGGACUCGCGGCUUAUCAGCUUGUUGGUGGGGUAGUGGCUUACCAAGGCUUUGACGGGUAGCCGGCCUGAGAGGGUGACCGGCCACAUUGGGACUGAGAUACGGCCCAGACUCCUACGGGAGGCAGCAGUGGGGAAUAUUGCACAAUGGGCGGAAGCCUGAUGCAGCAACGCCGCGUGCGGGAUGACGGCCUUCGGGCUGUAAACCGCUUUCGCCUGUGACGAAGCGUGAGUGACGGUAAUGGGUAAAGAAGCACCGGCUAACUACGUG